ACUGCACAGUGCUCGCCUCUGCCUGUCUGCCCCAUCUCCGCCCCUCCCCUCCUCCAGGUGUGCCCAGGCCAGUUACAGAGGCACAGACCCGUGGGAGCGAGUCUCUUCUCAUCUGACGCCAGCAGCUGACACCAACAGUUGCACAGAGAAGGUUUUUAUACCACUCACCUCACUGCAGUGUCUGCUUUCCAGUGGUGCUGACGUCUGUCCUGUGUCUGACUGUUUUCUGAGGAGCCAAAGCCAGAGGGAAGGAACAAAAGAGGGAUCAGGAAGUGAUCUAUCCCGUCAUCAAUUCCCACCUUCUGGCAAAUUGAGGUAGUGGGGCCCUGCGCUCAGCUUCAUUUUUGGGGCACUCCUGGAGACCCAGACAUUUUAAUCCAUUAUGGGAGGAAAACCCAGUUCCCAAGAAAUUGAAUCCAUUAUGGAAGGAAACCCCAGUUCACCAGAGUCUGACCCAGGGAAGCAAACGGAAGGAGCAAAGGGUAAGGAAACGACAUUUCUCCAGCACUGUCCUUAUAUCUGUGUGAC